GACCGCGUAGCUCAGUUGGAAGAGCAUUGGGCUACUAGGCUAUACCAAAGGUCGUAGGUUCGAUUCCCACCGAGGCCA